CUGAACCCUGCAACAUUUUCUCUAGCACUCCUAGUCGCCGCCUCACCUGGCCUCCGAGCACUCGGGCCUGCCGUCCGCGCCGUUCCUCUCCGCCGCGCUUCGCUCGAGCUCCGGCGGCCUCCGACCUCCGGCCUCCCCCGCGCUCCGUGCCUCUUCGUCGCGUCUUUGGUCGCGAGUCACGAGUGUUCCUGUCCCGAAUCCGGACGCUUCAUCGCCACUGUCUCGCGCGUUCUCUUUCGAGGGGGGAGAGGAGGUUGAUUGGUGCAAAGAUUUUGCCAGCCCCAAUGGUCCCGUCAUAGAGGGGGAGCGUCGCCACUGCCGUCAUCACGGCUCCCGCCGACAAGCUGCUCCAUGGGUAACGGACUUGGCUCCGAGUUUGGAGGUUCCAUUUGGUGUUGUGUUCGAUUUUGAGGGUACUUGAGAAGUUUCCUAAACUUCUGGUGCAGAUUUAUCUUUUUGAGGGUUCGGUCAGUUCGAUUUUGGAAGAUAAGGAUAUCUAUCCUUAGCUUUAGAAGCUUCUGGUGCAGAUUAUCACAUUGACAGAGCUAGGCCUAUCACUGGGAAGAAGUGCAAGAAGGCGGCCCCAAAGAAGGUUCAUUAGGCUGAGAGGGAGAAGCUUAAACGCGACCACCUCAAUGAUCUCUUCGUUGAGCUAGGUAAUAUGCUAGGUGAGCAUUCAUAUACACUACUAGAUUUUAGGACUAAUGCCACCAAUUCCAUUGCGACAACACAAAUUGUGAUGCAAUAGAUAGGUGUUAUUGUGACUAUUUUGUAAUUUCUUUGCAAAAAAUUGAUGCAAUCGCAACCAUUUGAAAUAUGGAUGAGUAGCUCAUACUAUUGCUACAUUUGAUUGUGGUUGUUAUAAUUUUUUUUUCAUUGCAAUAAGUAAGGGUUAUUGCCACAAAAUUUAAAGCGGUUGCGAGUAGUCAACAAUAUUGUUACGAUUUUAUUGCGUUGCAUUAAAUAAUCGCGUGCGUUGCAAUAUUUGUGUCUAUAUUGCAACAAGAAACUAAGUGGUUGCACGAAGAUGGUGCUUUCCCAAUUGAUUAUAUUUGUUGAUGUGUGCUAGUUCCCUUCGUUGCAAUAGAUCUGUGUAUUGCAACUAAGGCCAGUCUUAGCGGGAGUUUCAUAGGUACAGUUACCUAGACUGAGAACUAGGUAACUGUGUUAGAUAAAUUUUAUGGUGAUAAAACUCUCCUCACAUUCCAUAAAAUUUCAUCAUUUUCUCUCUUUGCCACGUCAGCAAAAUUAAUUGUAUUUAAUAAUGUUAUGAAACUCUUCAUGAAACCGCAUUGAGACUGGCCUCAGUGGGAGUUUUAUGAACACAUAUACCUAGACUGAGAAUUAGAUAAUCAUGCCAUAUGAGUUUCAUAGUGAUAAAACUAUUCUCACAUCUCAUAAAACCUCACCUUUCUCUCUUCUUGUCAUGUCAGCAAAAUUGAUGAUAUUUAAUGUCAUGAAACUCUUCAUGAAAUCUCCACUGAAACUGACCAAUCUUAGUGGGAGUGUCAUAAGAGUGUCAUGUACAUUAAAUUUGCUAACAUGUACCAAUAGUAUGAGGAGAGAGAAGAGAAAAGUGUCAUGAAAUGUGAGAGGAGUGUCAUCACUGAGACUGGCCUAAACAGAUUUGGUUGGGUCAAAUAUGGGUGGACCCAAUUAAACAACACGUGGGCCCAGGAAGAAAAGAAACGAUGCAUGAUCAGGGGACUUGUCGUGAUUGGAUCGAGGUAGCCGAGGAUCGCGAUCAAGCUAGCUAGGGCCGGCGCGGCAACAAACAGGGAGGCAAGCGGCAGGCGCAUCGUCGGACAUCCUCCGCCUUGAACAAGAUCGAUCGGAAUCGUCUCGGCCGGCGCGCGGCUGCCUGCUGGUUUUGAUCUCUUGGACUCGUAGUAGAUCGUCGCGGCCGCCGGCUGCUGCCUGCUUUUGGGCGUGCGGCACACGGCCACCAGCAGGGGCACGAAGACCAUUGAUCACUUCAAUUAGUGUUGACUUUUAUUGAUCAGAUUGGGGAGCAUGUCUUCGGGCAAUGAUAGGUCUUGGACAAUGUCGUACAGAACAAUUAAAGAAGUUACAAUUCAUUUGCUUCAUAAAGGGUUUUCUGAAAGUUUUAUUCAAGGGGAAGGAGAAGAAAAGUAUUCAUUUGAGGGCAUCAGUGAAGGGCUUGGCAAUGAAGGUGCAACAGGAUAUUUGAAUAUAAAUGGAUCACUCGGACAUGGAUGACUUUAAUGUCAACACAAGGACUCAUGGAGUGCAGAGGAGUGCUUGCUCUAGCCUAGCCUAUAUAAGAUAGAUGUUGUCGUAGUCUUAGUUACCAAACACUAGCUAUUUAUGAACUAUUUUGAAUUCAGAUAAUGUGUGGGCACUUUACAUAAUAUUUUUUACCAAUGGAACAAUUGUUCAUGGAUUCCUGUCUUAUUCAUAAUGAUACAAUUCAUUUUCUUGUA